rnacentral:misc_RNA from 1 species
AGCUGAGGCACAUUCCACAGUUCUCUGAGUUCUCUUUCUCAGAGAUUGAAGAAGCAACGCAGAACUUUAAUCCAUCACUCAAGAUUGGGGAAGGGGGAUAUGGUAACAUUUAUAAAGGUCUGUUAGGUCNNNNNNNNNUGCUGAGCUCUCAUAGCUCUCAAGGACCUGCAGAAUAUCAACAGGAGGUUGGUGUUUUGAGCAAGAUGAGGCAUCGAAAUCUUAUCACUCUUAUUGGGGCUUGUCCAGAAACUUGGACUCUUAUCUAUGAGUAUCUUCCCAAUGGAAGCCUUGAAGACCGACUGAACUGCAGGGAUAAUUCUCCUCCUUUGUCUUGGCAAACUCGAAUACGCAUCGC